UCGGACUUAGCGGCGGACGGGUGAGUAACGCGUGGGAACCUACCCUAUAGUACGGAAUAACCCAGGGAAACUUGGGCUAAUACCGUAUACGUCCUUCGGGGGAAAGAUUUAUCGCCAAAGGAUUGGCCCGCGUUGGAUUAGGUAGUUGGUGGGGUAAUGGCCUACCAAGCCGACGAUCAGUAGCUGGUCCGAGAGGAUGGACAGCCACAUUGGGACUGAGACACGGCCCAGACUCC
rnacentral:rRNA from 1 species